AAUUUAUGAACAACUCUACUUCUUUAUACAAACCAUCCAACCAACAUUCAUCUCUCUCCUCAGCACAUUCACCAAGUUUCAGCAUCUAUGCCAGAGGUAAAACUAAGGUAUGCUGUUGUUACUUGGGCAAACAAAGGGAUAGGAUUGGAGACUGUGAACCAGUUGGCCUCAAGUGGAGUCAAGGUGUUGCUCACAGCCAGAGAUGAGGACAGAGGCCAUGAAGCCAUUGAGAGAUUGAAAGAGUGUGGUCUCUCUGAUUUGGUGAUUUUCACCAGCUUGAUGUGACUGACUCUGCUAAUAUUGUUUCACUAGUAGUUUGUCAAGACACAGUUUGGGAGACUUGAUAUCUUGGUGAACAAUGCCGGAAUCAGUGGUGUCAUUCCAUAUGAAAUGGAAGAAUCAACAAUUAACUGGAAGGAACUGACUCAAACUUGUGAGAUGGCAGAAAAGUGCCUAACAACAAACUACUAUGGUGCAAAGGAAACAACUGAGGCAUUUCUUCCCCUUCUUCAAUUAUCCAACUCACCUAGGAUUGUCAAUGUUUCCUCCCAAGCAGGAUUGUUAAAGGGGAUAGCAAACGAAUUGGUUAAAGGGGUGUUUGAUGAUGCUGAAAAUCUUACAGAAGAGAGAAUAGAUGAGGUACUCAAAGUUUAUCAAAGACUUAAAAGAAGGCUCACUUGAAAACAGAGGUUGGCCAACCUUUUUGUCUGCUUAUAUGGUCUCAAAAGCAGCCAUGAAUUCAUACACAAGGAUUCUAGCCAAGAAGCACCAAAACUUUUGCAUUAAUUGUGUGUGUCCUGGUUUUGUGAAAACAGACAUAAACAGAAACACUGGCUUCUUAUCCGUUGACCAAGGUACUGCUAGUGUUGUGAGAUUAUCACUGUUGCCUGAUGGUUCCCCUUCUGGCCUCUUCUAUUGUAGGCAAGAACUGUCAAACUUUUUGCUACCAAAUCACACUUGUGACUUGACAAAUGAAUGGCAAAAGCAAUUGCUUGUCUUAUUUGAAUAUUUCCUACGUUCUUCAUGCACCCACGUCCCCACUUGCGCCAGUGUGCCACCACCACUACAAAAUUUGUACGUGUCAAAAAGAAUUAAAGUUGUGGAAAAAGGACAGCAUCAACUAACCUUGAUUUUAUUUGCGACCCUUUUUUUUUUGAGAAAACUGCACCUCUAUUUUCUAUACAUAUUAUCCAAUAUAUUUGGACUCUCUCUCUUCUUCACAUGCUCAUUGGCUUUCAGCAUAUCUAUGGCAGAGGCAAAACUAAGGUAUGCUGUUGUUACUGGAGCAAACAAAGGGAUAGGAUUUGAGACUGUAAAAGAGCUGGCCUCAAAUGGAGUCAAGGUGGUGCUCACAGCAAGAGAUGAGAAAAAAGGCCAUGAAGCCUUUGAGAGAUUGAAAGAGUGUGGUUUCUCUGAUUUGGUUAUUUUUCACCAGCUUGAUGUCACUGAAUCUGCUAGUAUUUCUUCACUAGUAGAGUUUGUUAAGACCAAUUUUGGGAAGCUUGAUAUAUUGGUGAACAAUGCAGGAAUCAGUGGUGCCAAUCUGGAUGAAGUGGAAGGAUCAACAUUUAAAUGGGAGGAACUGACUCAAACCAAUGAGAUGACUGAAAAGUGCCUAACAACAAACUACUAUGGUGCAAAGAAAACAACUGAGGCAUUUCUUACCCUUCUGCAGUUAUCCAAUUCACCUAGGAUUGUUAAUGUUUCCUCCCAAGCAGGGUUGUUAAAGAACAUAUCAAACGAAUGGGCUAAAGGGGUGCUUGAUGAUGCUGAUAAUCUUACAGAAGAGAGAAUAGACGAGGUACUCAAAGAGUUUAUCAAAGACUUCAAAGAAGGUUCAUUAGCAACCAAAGGGUGGCCAACCUUCUUGUCUGCAUAUAUUGUCUCAAAAGCAGCCAUGAAUUCAUACACAAGGAUUCUAGCCAAGAAGCACCAAAACAUGUGCAUUAACAGUGUGUGCCCUGGUUUUGUCAAAACAGACAUAAACAAAAACACUGGCAUCUUAACCGUUGACCAAGGUGCUGCUAGUGUUGUGAAAUUGGCACUGUUGCCUGAUGGUUCCCCUUCGGGCCUCUUCUAUAUUAGGCAAGAAUUGUCAAACUUCUGAAUGAUUUUAAAUGUAAUGCAAAUACAUUCAUGCAGACACAUGAAUUAACACAUGACAGAAUGUUCCUCUUGCCCGUAUUUUUUACCCUUAUGCAAGUACGACCAUUAUCUUCUAUUCUUGCUAGGAAUUGUCAAAGUUCUUAUUUGUCAUCUUCUGAUGAAAUUUAAUUUCUAGAACAUGAGAUGAACUAUUCUUGGUUUAA